rnacentral:rRNA from 1 species
UAGGGAAUUUUGGACAAUGGGCGAAAGCUUGAUCCAGCAAUGCCGCGUGUGUGAAGAAGGCCUUCGGGUUGUAAAGCACUUUUGUCCGGAAAGAAAUCCUUGGCUCUAAUACAGUCGGGGGAUGACGGUACCGGAAGAAUAAGCACCGGCUAACUACGUGCCAGCAGCCGCGGUAAUACGUAGGGUGCAAGCGUUAAUCGGAAUUACUGGGCGUAAAGCGUGCGCAGGCGGUUUGCUAAGACCGAUGUGAAAUCCCCGGGCUCAACCUGGGAACUGCAUUGGUGACUGGCAGGCUAGAGUAUGGCAGAGGGGGGUAGAAUUCCACGUGUAGCAGUGAAAUGCGUAGAGAUGUGGAGGAAUACCGAUGGCGAAGGCAGCCCCCUGGGCCAAUACUGACGCUCAUGCACGAAAGCGUGGGGAGCAAACAGGAUUAGAUACCCUGGUAGUCCACGCCCUAAACGAUGUCAACUAGUUGUUGGGGAUUCAUUUCCUUAGUAACGUAGCUAACGCGUGAAGUUGACCGCCUGGGGAGUACGGUCGCAAGAUUAAAA